AUCCUUUUGUAGUUCAUAAACAGGAUGAUUGGGUUUUCACAUUUAUUGUGAGAGGUGCUUUCCUCCAACCUUGUUAUGAUGUUGAUCCAUCUGAUG
rnacentral:snoRNA from 1 species